rnacentral:rRNA from 1 species
GCCUACGGGAGGCAGCAGUGGGGAAUAUUGCACAAUGGGCGAAAGCCUGAUGCAGCGACGCCGCGUGAGGGAUUAAGGCCUUCGGGUUGUAAACCUCUUUCAGCAGGGAAGAAGCGAAAGUGACGGUACCUGCAGAAGAAGCACCGGCUAACUACGUGCCAGCAGCCGCGGUAAUACGUAGGGUGCGAGCGUUGUCCGGAAUUAUUGGGCGUAAAGAGCUUGUAGGCGGUUUGUCGCGUCUGCUGUGAAAUCUCAAGGCUCAACCUUGAGCUUGCAGUGGGUACGGGCAGACUAGAGUGUGGUAGGGGAGACUGGAAUUCCUGGUGUAGCGGUGAAAUGCGCAGAUAUCAGGAGGAACACCGAUGGCGAAGGCAGGUCUCUGGGCCACUACUGACGCUGAGAAGCGAAAGCAUGGGGAGCGAACAGGAUUAGAUACCCCGGUAGC